rfam:Aedes albopictus isolate Foshan contig90067, whole genome shotgun sequence.
UGUUCUGCGGCUUAGUUGGUUAUAGCGUCGGAUCAGCAAUACGGAGUCCUGGGUUCGAAUCCCACCAAAACGA